GCGCCGGUGGUGUAAUGGCGUAGAGCAUUCCCACCCGGUCAGAGGGNCCGGUCAGAGGGAGGUGCGGGUUCGAGUCCCACCCGGCGCU
rnacentral:tRNA from 1 species